rnacentral:rRNA from 1 species
UACGUAGGGGGCAAGCGUUGUCCGGAAUCAUUGGGCGUAAAGAGCGCGUAGGCGGUCCGGUAAGUCCGCUCUGAAAGCCCGGGGCUCAACCCCGGGAGGCGGGCGGAUACUGUCGGGCUAGAGUCCGGAAGAGGCGAGUGGAAUUCCUGGUGUAGCGGUGAAAUGCGCAGAUAUCAGGAGGAACACCGAUGGCGAAGGCGAUCACCUGGGGUUGUUCUGACGCUGAGGAGCGAAAGCUAGGGGAGCAAACGGG